rfam:Heterocephalus glaber contig81202, whole genome shotgun sequence.
GUCUACGGCCAUCCCACUCCGAAUGCGCCUGAUCUCGUCCGAGCUCAGAAGCUAAGCCAAGUCAAGCCUGGUUAGCACCUGGAUGCGAAGACAUGGUGCCAUGAAUC